AUGGAGGGAACCUUUGAGGACUUAAGCAACUGGUCGCCCAUACAGAAAGUGGUAAAACUGGGCUCCUGCUUGACCACCUCCAUCCCUCGCCCCAGGUUUCUUGACACCAGAUCCAGUGCUAUUUACACCACCACCCAGGCCAGGAAUUUGUGGAAGAAACUGGCGGAAUGGCCAAAGACUAUGACAGGUCUUCCCAGCACAUCAGGAACAACUGCCAGUGUGGUCAUCAUACGGGGCAUGAAGAUGUAUGUAGCUCACGUAGGUGACUCAGGGGUGGUUCUUGGAAUUCAGGAUGACCCAAAGGAUGACUUUGUCAGAGCUGUGGAGGUGACACAGGACCAUAAGCCAGAACUUCCCAAGGAAAGAGAACGAAUCGAAGGACUUGGCGGAAGUGUGAUGAACAAGUCUGGGGUGAAUCGUGUAGUUUGGAAACGACCUCGGCUCACUCACAAUGGACCUGUUAGAAGAAGCACAGUUAUUGACCAGAUUCCUUUUCUGGCAGUAGCAAGAGCACUUGGUGAUUUGUGGAGCUAUGAUUUCUUCAGUGGUGAGUUUGUGGUGUCACCUGAACCAGACACAAGUGUCCACACUCUUGACCCUCAGAAGCACAAGUAUAUUAUAUUGGGGAGUGAUGGGCUUUGGAAUAUGAUUCCACCACAAGAUGCCAUCUCAAUGUGCCAGGACCAAGAGGAGAAAAAAUACCUGAUGGGUGAGCAUGGACAAUCUUGUGCCAAAAUGCUUGUGAAUCGAGCAUUGGGCCGCUGGAGGCAGCGUAUGCUCCGAGCAGAUAACACUAGUGCCAUAGUUAUCUGCAUCUCUCCAGAAGUGGACAAUCAGGGAAACUUUACCAAUGAAGAUGAGUUAUACCUGAACCUGACUGAUAGCCCUUCCUAUAAUAGUCAAGAAACCUGUGUGAUGACUCCUUCCCCACGUUCUACACCACCAGUCAAGUCCCUGGAGGAGGAUCCAUGGCCAAGGCUGAACUCUAAGGACCAUAUACCUGCCCUGGUUCGUAGCAAUGCCUUCUCAGAGAAUUUUUUAGAGGUUUCAGCUGAGAUAGCUCGAGGGAAUAUCCAGGGUGUAGUCAUACCCUCAAAAGAUCCAGAACCACUUGAAGAAAAUUGCGCUAAAGCCCUGACUUUAAGGAUACAUGAUUCUUUGAAUAAUAGCCUUCCAGUUGGCCUUGUGCCUACUAACUCAACAAACACUGUCAUGGACCAAAAAAAUUUGAAGAUGUCAACUCCUGGCCAAAUGAAAGCCCAAGAAAUUGAAAGAACCCCUCCAACAAACUUUAAAAGGACACUAGAAGAGUCCAAUUCUGGCCCCCUGAUGAAGAAACAUAGACGAAAUGGCUUAAGUCGAAGUAGUGGUGCUCAGCCUGCAAGUCUCCCUACAACCUCACAGCGAAAGAACUCUGUUAAACUCACCAUGCGACGCAGACUUAGGGGCCAGAAGAAAAUUGGAAAUCCUUUACUUCAUCAACACAGGAAAACUGUUUGUGUUUGCUGAAAUGCAUCUGGGAAAUGAGGUUUUUCCAAAUUUAGGAGAGGGCUUUUUAAAUUUGGUGCCGAAGUUGAACUUUUUUUUAAGGAGACAAAAUUAAAAGAAUAUACAGUUUGACUUUUUGGAAUUCAGCAGUUUUAUCCUGGCCUUGUACUUGCUUGUAUUAUAAAUGUGGAUUUUAUAGAUGUUAGGGUAUAAGUUGCUGUAAAAUUUGUGUAAAUUUGUAUCCACACAAAUUCAGUCUCUUACUCUGAUACACAGUAAUUGUGACAACAGGGCUAAAUGUUUAAAGAAAUCAAAAGAAUCUAUUAGAUUUUAGAAAAACAUUUAAGCUUUUUAAAAUACUUAUUAAAAAAUUUGUAUAAGCCAAAAAAAAAA